UACGGGGGGGGCUAGCGUUGUUCGGAAUUACUGGGCGUAAAGGGCUCGUAGGCGGCCAACUAAGUCAGACGUGAAAUCCCCCGGCUUAACCAGGGAACUGCGUCUGAUACUGGAUGGCUUGAGUUUGGGAGAGGGAUGCGGAAUUCCAGGUGUAGCGGUGAAAUGCGUAGAUAUCUGGAGGAACACCGGUGGCGAAGGCGACAUCCUGGACCAACACUGACGCUGAGUGAGCGAAAGCCAGGGGAGCAAACGGG
rnacentral:rRNA from 1 species